UGGUGGAGUGAUUUGUCUGGUUAAUUCCGUUAACGAACGAGACCUCAGCCUACUAACUAGUUUUAUUAAUUUUCAAUUGAUGUAGACUUCUUAGAGGGACUAUUGGUGAUUAGCCAAUGGAAGUAUGAGGCAAUAACA
rnacentral:rRNA from 1 species